GAUGAACGCUGGCGGCGUGCCUAAUACGUGCAAGUCGAGCGAAUGGAUUAAGAGCUUGCUCUUAUGAAGUUAGCGGCGGACGGGUGAGUAACACGUGGGUAACCUGCCCAUAAGACUGGGAUAACUCCGGGAAACCGGGGCUAAUACCGGAUAACAUUUUGAACCGCAUGGUUCGAAAUUGAAAGGCGGCUUCGGCUGUCACUUAUGGAUGGACCCGCGUCGCAUUAGCUAGUUGGUGAGGUAACGGCUCACCAAGGCAACGAUGCGUAGCCGACCUGAGAGGGGGAUCGGCCACACUGGGACUGAGACACGGCCCAGACUCCUGCGGGAGGCAGCAGUAGGGAAUCUUCCGCAAUGGACGAAAGUCUGACGGAGCAACGCCGCGUGGGUGAUGAAGGCUUUCGGGUCGUAAAACUCUGUUGUUAGGGAAGAACAAGUGCUAGUUGAAUAAGCUGGCACCUUGACGGUACCUAACCAGAAAGCCACGGCUAACUACGUGCCAGCCGCCGCCGUAA
rnacentral:rRNA from 1 species